GCCUUUGCUUGGACACGGUCCACAUUGCCCAGGCUGGUGUGAGAGAUGAAUGGGAAGGGAAGGGCUGAUCCUUGGGCUCACAGCAUGGGAGAGAUCCGCCGGCCUUUCCCAGGGAGUUCAGGUUGAUUCCCUUGGCUCCUUCCACGGACUUUACCUAAGCAACGCAGAGGAAUGGCUGUUGUCGACUGCACCUCCCCCCCGGUGCCCCGCACGGACGCUCGUGAUACCCCCCCCCCCAUACACACACACUUUCUCCCCUCCACGGGGGCUGCGAUGGAGCGGCUCCCCCUUCGGACCCGGUUGUUAUGGUGACAGCUGCCUCCUCAGACUAGCCACUUCAGGGACCCGAUGAGUCACGUGGGCAGCCAGAUGUGGCACCUCUGGAGUGGGAGGGGCUCGGACACGCGUUUGGGGACACGCCGCCCAGGGCCGGGCCCAACAACAGCAUAAUGUUGGAUGGAAACAAGACUAUAAUCCACACCUCACACUCAACAAAGCAACUAUCUGAAUGAGUGAAUACAGGAGCACCCAGAAGAAGGGUGCAGGCAUUUGAAAAUCACCUGUUGGCCAUGGCGAGAAACAAAUAUUGGGACAACUCCUUAUUCAAAAUAGAGCUCAUCAGGUUGGAAACUGCAGGGACUGAAAAGAAAAGGGACCAUGCAGUCAUGGUGGAUAGCUCAACGAAAACAUUAACUCAGAAUACGGUACGUUGAUGAAGACUAUCAAAACAAGAUAGAACCAGGAGCCCAUCUAUUAUUUGUUCUGAAUUACUUUGGAUAAAACUACUGAACAGCUUGAUCAAAAUAAAGAACUAUGACUGUGCUAUAACUGUUCUUUAAGGAUCUUAAUUACAAAAACCCAGCAAAUAAAGCCACUUAUUUCUACACUGCUUUCACGUCAGCUUUAAGUUGUCUUUAUGACAUGGGACUCAUUUCUUGUUUUGUUCAUAUUGUACCAUGUUUUUCCAUCAUUUAUGUAUGAAUGAAUUUAUAUUAUAGCAUUUAUAUUAUAGCAUUGUUUGCCAGGUUAAUCAAGUAAAACGGUACAUCAUUUUACCUGAUUAACUUGGCAGGGUUGUUAAACAAUGCUAUAAUAUAAAUGGUUAUUAUA